GAGACAGGAUCUCCCCCUGUCACCCAAGAUGGAGUACAGUGGCAUGAUCUCAGUUCACUGCAACCUCUGCUCCCGGGUUCAAGCAAUUCUGCCUCAGCCUCUCAAGUAGCUGGGAUUACAGACGUGUGCCACCACACCCAGUUUUUACUAGAGCCAGUCAUCCAUCAUACCUGGAACAGCGAUAAUACCCAGAUUGCCCUCAGUCCUAAUAAUCAUGAAAUGCACAUCUGAAAGAACGGAGCCAGCGGGUGAAAGCUCAUGAACUCAAGGAGCACAAUGGACACAUCACAGAUAUUGAUUCGGCUCCCAAGAGCAACCGAUUCGUCACUUGUUGGGCAGAUCACAAUACCUAUCUAUGUCUGGAGACAGAAAGAUGGUGUCUGGAAGCCAACCCUAUCCUGAGAAUUACACAGCUACUUUUGUGAAGUGGUCCCCCCUAGAGAACAAAUCUGCUGUGAGAAGUGGAGCAUGACUCAUUUCUGUUUGUUACUUUGAGUCUGAAAAUGACUGGUGAGUGAGCAAGCACAUUAAAAAGUUGAUUCGCUCCACAGUCCUCAGCUUGGAUUGGCAUCCCAAUGUAUUGCUGGCAGCAGGAUCAUGUGACUUCAAAUGCAGUGUUUUCUGCUUACAUUAAAGAAGUGGAUGAAAAGCCAGCCAGCACAUCCUGGGGCAGCAAGAUGUCUUUUGGGAAGCUGAUGUCAGAGUUUGGUGGCAGUGGCUCUGGUGGCUGGGUCCACGGGGUCAGCUUCUCUGCCAGUGGGAGCCACCUUGGGUCAGCCAUGAUAGCACCAUGUCUGUUGCUGAUGCCUCAAAAAUAUGCAGGUCUCAACUCUGAUGAUGGAGUUUCUGCCCCUUCUUAGUGUGUCAUUUGCCUCAGAGGCUGCUGGCCAUGACUGCUGCCCAGUGCUCUUUAGCUAUGAUGACUGUGCUACCUGAUCUUUGUCUCCAAGUUAGAUAUUCCAAAACAGACCAUCCAAUGCGACAUAUCUGCCAUGGAAUGCUUCCACAACAUGGACAAGAGGGCCACAAAUGAGGACCACAACACGAUCUUGGAGAUACUGCACCAGAAUAGCAUCACUCAAGUCUCUAUGAAGUGGACAAGCAAGGUGUGUUGCAAAUUUUGUAGUGCUGGCAUUGAUAGAGCCAUGACAAUUUGAGGUUUCAAGGGCCUCCAGAUAAUGUGAAGCUGAGUGACCUUCCACCAUCCAGUGUGACAAACUGUGGCUGACCACAGCUGUGCCGUGGAAGCCAGCCCCAAGAAAACACUGAAAACAUGUAUCACACCAAUACCAUGUGGUUUUGUUUGAAUAUAAACUUGGUGAAAGUGUUGAUUUUUUAAAAGCAGUUUUUUGUUUAUUUGUUUGCUUGUGGUUUCAUUCCAUUAUUGACCAAAGCUUUUCUUUAAGUAGUUUAUUAUGGAAAAUUGUCACACUAACUUAAAAGAUAGGGUAAGGAAGAUUAUAUAAAUUGUCCACUAGAAAAUUAAAUAAAAGAACUGAAUGUGG